rnacentral:lncRNA from 1 species
GAAUGCAGUCGGCUAACACCUUCCUGUUGUUCCAGGGAGACCCAUAUAGACAUAUGGCCUGCAGAAUUGUAGACACAGCAUCAUCUCUACCCAUAAAAGAUGGCAUUCUGCAAGACUGAGAAGAUGCCCACCUCCAUUCCCAGAGUCCAGGCCUUCAUUAACUCACACGAGAACUACAGAAGCAUCACCCCUAGUUCUCCUAUUAGUCACUCCUCCUCAACUGCCUCUAAUCCAUCCAUCCAUCUAUCCGGCAUGGGUCAUGUAAAGUUACAGCUGAGAAGGUACUCCCUCUCUUAAACUCAUCGGGGCUCCAUGUGGCUUCAAGAUUGAAAAUAAAACUACUGUGUAUGGUAUAUAAACUUAAGCU